AGUGAACGCUGGCGGUAGGCCUAACGCAUGCAAGUCGAACGGCAGCACAGAGGAGCUUGCUCCUUGGGUGGCGAGUGGCGGACGGGUGAGGAAUACAUCGGAAUCUACUCUGUCGUGGGGGAUAACGUAGGGAAACUUACGCUAAUACCGCAUACGACCUACGGGUGAAAGCAGGGGACCUUCGAGCCUUGCGCGAUUGAAUGAGCCGAUGUCGGAUUAGCUAGUUGGCGGGGUAAAGGCCCACCAAGGCGACGAUCCGUAGCUGGUCUGAGAGGAUGAUCAGCCACACUGGAACUGAGACACGGUCCAGACUCCUACGGGAGGCAGCAGUGGGGAAUAUUGGACAAUGGGCGCAAGCCUGAUCCAGCCAUACCGCGUGGGUGAAGAAGGCCUUCGGGUUGUAAAGCCCUUUUGUUGGGAAAGAAAUCCAGCUGGCUAAUACCCGGUUGGGAUGACGGUACCCAAAGAAUAAGCACCGGCUAACUUCGUGCCAGCCGCCGCGGUAA
rnacentral:rRNA from 1 species